GUGGGUAUUGCUCAGUGGUAGAGUGUACGCUUAGCAUGCAUGAGGUCCUGGGUCCAAUCCCCAGUACCUCCA
rnacentral:tRNA from 1 species